rnacentral:rRNA from 1 species
CAAAAAAGCGGAGGAAAAGAAACUAACAAGGAUUCCCCUAGUAACGGCGAGUGAAGCGGGAAGAGCUCAAAUUUGUAAUCUGGCACCUUCGGUGUCCGAGUUGUAAUCUCGAGAAGUGUUUUCCGCGCCGGACCGCAUACAAGUCUGUUGGAAUACAGCGUCAUAGUGGUGAGAACCCCGUAACUGAUGCGGAUGCCCGGUGCUUUGUGAUACACUUUCGAAGAGUCGAGUUGUUUGGGAAUGCAGCUCAAAUUGGGUGGUAAAUUCCAUCUAAAGCUAAAUAUUGGCGAGAGACCGAUAGCGAACAAGUACCGUGAGGGAAAGAUGAAAAGCACUUUGGAAAGAGAGUUAACAGUACGUGAAAUUGUUGGAAGGGAAACGCUUGAAGUCAGACUUGCUAUUUGGAAUUCAGCCGCAAGGUGUACUUUUCAAUUCGCAGGCCAGCAUCAGUUUUCGGGGGUGGAAAAGGGUAGAGAGAAGGUAGCAAUUUCGGUUGUGUUAUAGCUCUUUGCUGGAUUCAUCCUUGGGGACUGAGGAACGCAGCACGCUUUUUGCAAGGCUUUCGGGCUUUUCGUGCUUAGGAUGCUGGUGGAAUGGCUUUAAACGACCCGUCUUGAAACCACGGGACCA